GACGAACGCUGGCGGCGUGCUUAACACAUGCAAGUCGAACGAGGGGCGAACGGGUGAGUAAUACGUGAGUAACCUGCCCUCUUUUUGGGAUAGGCCUUGGAAACGGGGUAUAAUACCGGAUAAAGGGGGAUGGGCUCGUGGCCUAUCGGCGUGUUGGGGGGGUGAUGGCCUACCAAGGCGGUGACGGGUAGCCGGGCUGAGAGGGGGAACGGCCACAUUGGCACUGAGAGACGGCCCAGACGAGUACGGGGUGGAGCAGUGGGGGAUAUUGCCCAAUGGGCGAAAGCGUGAUGCAGCGAGGCCGCGUGGGGGAUGAAGGUUUUCGUGUUGUAAACCUCUUUCGGUAUCGAACGGGUAGGUGGAGAAGAAGCGCCGGCUAACUACGUGCCAGCAGCCGCGGUAAUAC
rnacentral:rRNA from 1 species